GAUGAACGCUGGCGGCGUGCCUAAUACAUGCAAGUCGAGCGCACGGACGAGAAGCUUGCUUCUCUGAUGUUAGCGGCGGACGGGUGAGUCACACGUGGAUAACCUACCUAUAAGACUGGGAUAACUUCGGGAAACCGGAUCUAAUACCGGAUAAUAUUUUGAACCGCAUGGUUCAAAAGUGAAAGACGGUCUUGUUGUCACUUAUAGAUGGAUCCGCGCUUCAUUAGCUAGUUGGUAUGGUAACGGCUUACCAAGGCAACGAUGCAUAGCCGACCUGAGAGGGUGAUCGGCCACACUGGAACUGAGACACGGUCCAGACUCCUACGGGAGGCAGCAGUAGGGAAUCUUCGGAAAUGGGCGAAAGCCUGACGGAGCAACGCCGCGUGAGUGAUGAAGGUCUUCGGAUCUUAAAACUCUUUUAUUAGGGAAGAACAUAUGUGUAAGUAACUGUGCACAUCUUGACGGUACCUAAUCAGAAAGCCACGGCUAACUACGUG
rnacentral:rRNA from 1 species